GAUGGAGAGUGUGUGUUUGCAGACUCUGAGGUCACACUAGUGUGGGAGAAGCAGCCGACUGCAGACGAGGAGCAGAGAGCCAGACGCCUGAAGCUGCCGCCCACCUUCCUCUGCGGCGUCAGCAGCGACUCCGACUCCGAGCGACCCGGCGACUUCAGCGCAGAGCUACACACACUGCAGCACGCUCAGGUGAAGCCGAAGCCUUCCCAAGAUGCAGCAGCGGAAGAGCCUCCCGUGGACGGCAGCGUUGACCCCAUUGACCUCUCCACGAAGAGGAGCAGCAAGAGCGAGUCCAGCUCCACUGCAGCAGGUCUUCCUUUUGCAUU